rnacentral:rRNA from 1 species
CCUACGGGUGGCUGCAGUGGGGAAUAUUGGACAAUGGGGGGAACCCUGAUCCAGCCAUGCCGCGUGUGUGAAGAAGGCCCUCGGGUUGUAAAGCACUUUCAGUGAGGAAGAACGCCUGGUGGUUAAUACCCAUCAGGAAAGACAUCACUCACAGAAGAAGCACCGGCUAACUCCGUGCCAGCAGCCGCGGUAAUACGGAGGGUGCGAGCGUUAAUCGGAAUUACUGGGCGUAAAGCGCGCGUAGGUGGCUUGAUAAGCCGGUUGUGAAAGCCCCGGGCUCAACCUGGGAACGGCAUCCGGAACUGUCAAGCUAGAGGGCAGGAGAGGAAGGUAGAAUUCCCGGUGGAGCGGUGAAAUGCGUAGAGAUCGGGAGGAAUACCAGUGGCGAAGGCGGCCUUCUGGACUGACACUGACACUGAGGUGCGAAAGCGUGGGUAGCAAACAGGAUUAGAUACCCCUGUAGUC